AUUGAACGCUGGCGGCGUGCCUAAUACAUGCAAGUCGAACGCAGUGGGGACGGGUGAGUAACACGUGGGUAACCUCCCAUCAGAGGGGAUAACACUUGGAAACAGGUGCUAAACCGAUACUGAUGGAUGGACCCGCGGUGCAUUAGCUAGUUGGUGAGGUAACGGCUCACCAGGGCCACGAUGCAUAGCCGACCCGAGGGGGUGAUCGGGCACACGGGGACAGAGACACGGCCCAGACUCCGACGGUAGGCAGCAGUAGGGAAUCUUCGGCAAUGGACGAAAGUCGGACCGAUCAACGCCGCGGGAGUGAAGAAGGUUUGCGGAUCGUAAAACUCUGUUGUUAGAGAAGCGGUAUCUAACCAGAAAGCCACGGCUAACUACGUGCCAGCCGCCGCGGUAAUAC
rnacentral:rRNA from 1 species